CCGGGGAGCCGGGCAGCCGCGUGCGCUUCACGGCGUUCGAGGAAAGUCCGGGCUCCACGAAACAAGGGUGGCGGGUAACGCCCGCCGGGUGAAAGCCCAGGGAAAGUGCCACAGAGAGUAUACCGCCGAUGGCGCCUGAAGCGCACAGGCAAGGGUGAAAGGGUGCGGCAAGAGCGCACCGGGAGCGUGGCAACACGGUCCGUCAUGGCAAACCCCACCCGGAGCAAGACCGCAUAGGGGUCUCGCGCCACUUGCUGGCAGGAGUGUUUCGCUCCGAGAGACCCGGGUUGGUUGCUUGAGCGCGGGAGCAAUCCGGCGCCGAGAUGAAUGGCUGCCCCCGCGGCGCAGGUCCCUUCGGGGAAACCGGCUGCGGGACAGAACCCGGCUUACAGGCUCCCCGGCAAU
rnacentral:RNase_P_RNA from 1 species